AUAACAGUUGGAAACGACUGCUAAUACCGCAUACGAUCUAAUCUCGGCAUCGAGGAUAGAUGAAAGGUGGCCUCUACAUGUAAGCUAUCACUGAAGGAGGGGAUUGCGUCUGAUUAGCUAGUUGGAGGGGUAACGGCCCACCAAGGCGAUGAUCAGUAGCCGGUCUGAGAGGAUGAACGGCCACAUUGGGACUGAGACACGGCCCAG
rnacentral:rRNA from 1 species